CGGCAUCAUCUCUUAUCCCCGGCAAGGGCGGCGAGCUCCUCAACAAUGGAGGCGGUGCAUAAGUCUUUUUUUUUGUCCCGCCUUCCUGAUCUCUUUCCUUUUCAUUACCCCUUCAAAUUCUCCUCAGAUAUCUCUGUUUUGAUUAUUACUUUACCUCCCUAUGUGAUAUUGUUCAUCUGAUUGUUUUACUUCUACUACUGGACACAUCAUCAUUAUUUCCAGCCUAUUAGAUGUGAUGCCCGAGAGAAUAGGCUUCAAUCAUUCAAUUAUAUUAACUUAGGCAUAGCAAAGUUCGAGAUGGUUAAUUCGUUUUUCUGUUUUAGCUGACCCUAUUUGAUAUAAAAUUUAACAAAUUUUGACUCAAAGGAGGGGAAGAGGAGGGAGGUAGCAGUGUGUGUGCCGGCAGAGGAGGUGGCUGGAAAGAGUGCCGCUGAUGAUGGCACGGUGAGGGGCGACGGGAUGGAGGCGGCCUUCGGCAAUAGCACAUCAAGAUGCAACGCCCGAUCCUCAUAUCCGUUUUCUGUUCUCUCCAAUGAGAUGCUCGCAUGUGAGAGAUCUGUCCUGGCAAGAACCCGGUAGGGCUAGGCUGCUCUGAUGGUUUGUCAGGCCGGAUAUUGUGUGGGUGGGCAUUCACUAACCUCCCCAGAACAAAAUUCUUGGAUGUUUAACCCAUCGCCUUUCUCUGGUUAUUUACGCCCAUGAUGAAAUCAGUAUCAUGGAUCUCCGUACAUCUAUGUGCGUUUUUUCAGCCAGAGCCCCUUGCCCUGUCUUUGCACUAGAGCAUUAUCAGAUCCACAUUGACAGCUAAUGGUAAGAUUCUACAUACCGAAGUAACUAUAACAUCAACUGGAUCAAGCCGAGACAGAAUUCAUUAGAGAUAAUGUUAUGGUUAAGAAGCCGACCAUCUUUCUUCCCAAGGUUUUCCACUACUAUGCAAAGUCCAAACGAUGCUGCACUAGAGUUGCCUGAUCUGAUUGAGAUGGUAUGUAAGAGCAUGCCUGAUGCCCAACAAAAAGAAAUGAGGAAACGUCUCUGGAGUAGGAGAUAAGUGUGUUGAAUGGUUGCUAUAAAAGUUUUCGUUCAUGCUUCUCCUUAUAUCUUCACAAAUCUUUCAUCCAGAAGUGAAUAUAAACAACACCGGAGGCUUCUCAUAUGAGUCUUUUAUAGAGUUCACAGAUGGCUGAAGCUUUUUGUAUCAA